UGCUGACUUUGAGGAACCAAGUGUCCAUGUUGGAGAGCCAUAUCUGACCGACAGCAGCCUCUGACCGAUGGCCGGCUAGGAGCUGAGACCAUUCCAGUAGCCCAUGAAGAACUGAAUCCAGGCAACUGCUAAAAUUUUUUUCACACUGCCACAUCAUGUCAGCAGCUUCUUGAGCUCUAGACUUUUUGGGCAAAUUGUUAACAAUCCCAAUAGAGCCUUCAAAAAACUUAGAGAAAAUGAAUAUAUAAGUUGUUUAGAAAGCAUAUCUGAAUCUGACCAAGAAUGAAGUCUGGCAUAUGUAACAAGAAACGAGCACAUCUUCUAAAUGGGCUCGAUGAGGUGGAUAUUACUGUCAUUGCAUCAGAUGUUACGAUCCCUGAUAAAGCCUCAAAUGAGCUGUAUGCUGAAGAACUAGAAAGAAAUGUAGAAAAGAAGUGACCCCAAACAGAAAUCAAUGACCCAGGCUGUGAUCAGCAACUCGCUGUGUUAGUUUAGUGUCAAGAAUGCGGCUAGGAUUUAAGAAAACUUUACAAUCAUAGAUCACCUCCCCAAACAAAAGCCAAUAAACAAAGAACACAUCUUUAAGGAAAGAGAUGAGAGGAAGAUGGUAAAGAAUCUCUGAGAAAUAACAAAAAGAAAAAGUAGUAAUAAAUGAGCAGAAGAGAAGGAAAUAAAAACAAAAUGAGAGCAAAUUUUCAAGAGUGGAGAAAUAAGAUGAUGCUAUCCCAAAGAACAAGAGUAAAGAAGUUAUGAAUUGGGCUUCACUGAUAGCUCAGUAAAGCACCCACCUGCCAUGGCAGGAGACAUGGAUUUGAUCCCUCAUCCAGGAAGAUUGCACAUGCCUUGGAGCAACUAAACCUGUGCACCACAACUACGAGCUUGUGCUCCACAACAAGAGAAGUCACUGCAAUGAGAAGCACACCCAAAAAGAAGCUAAAUAAGUAAAUAAAUAAAAGUAUAAUAACAACAAAAGCUAUGGGUCAGAGAAAAACAGAAUGAGGGGUGGGGUGCUGAGAUGGAGAAAGCAUGAGGCAUUGUGGGUGAUGAUGAGAGGAGCAGAUCAAGGACUUUUUGUACCUAUUGUGUGCUGGACAGAACAGUAGAAACAUUUCAUCCACAGCUCAUAUGUAGAGUCAACAAGUGUAUGAACAACGAAUGAUUAUUUCAUUUGAUAAAUCAAAGAAGUCCGAGAAAUUAAACAGCUCAUCCAAGAUCGAAAGAAUUAGUAAAAUCCUGAGUCAAAAUGCAUGUCCAAAUCUGUGUGUUUUGACCAAAAACUGGGGCAGGAUUGGAAAGGUCACUCUCCACCCACUGUGUGAAGCAGAGGACAGAUGCCCCUGCUUCUUUCUUCUUUUCUUUGCCAGCUAAUUACAUGUCUGAUUAGUGUAGGACAAAGGAAAAUGCACAGAAGAGAAGCCUGACAAGGUUGAGAAGGAAAUGGCCCGGGAGAAAGGAAGAUGAUUCAUUGAUAAGCCCUUUGUCCUCUAGAAAUGCAAUAGGCCUCCUAGGAGGAGAGACUUCGUGUCUAGGGGGCAGCUUGGGCCUUGAUGGAAGAGUCACCCAGAGGAGGAAGAGAACAGAAGAGCUGGAGUGUUUUCAGACCUCCCUUCCUCAGCAAGCCACACGCACACAAAAAGUGCUAUAAAAUGUCUUUGAUUCUUCCUCCUCUUCAUUCGUACUAUUAUAUACCAACCUGAACAACAUCGCCCUUUAAAACCAGGCCACCUUUGGAGCCGUGAUUUAACUACAUAGUGUUUCUCGAGCAUCUAAUCCUUGAAACAGGAUCCUAUGUCGUACUUGGUUAAGACUCCAUACAACUUCAGUAGGGUCUGCUGCAUCAUUCACUCCAGAUAAAACCCCAAGAAAUCAAAACAGGAUUAUUCAGCAAUUUAAACAAAAACUGUUUUCCUGCUGAUGACACUGAGUGUCAUGUCACGUUCCUGGUAAUGAAAGUCGUCGUCAGAUACAUGGUGAGGUCAACUCACCUUGUCACUAAAGUUCAAAAAUUCAAAAGCCCUUCCUUCAAAAAUUUUUAAAAUUCUUGCUAGCUUUUAUCACCAUUUCCAUUGUGAGAUUUUUCUUUUUCAGAGAUGAAAAUAAAGGUCAUUUUUUAAUUCCCAGCUUCUAGUUUAGUGUUAUCUCAAAU